rnacentral:rRNA from 1 species
AUUGAACGCUGGCGGCAGGCCUAACACAUGCAAGUCGAGCGGAUGAAGGGAGCUUGCUCCUGGAUUCAGCGGCGGACGGGUGAGUAAUGCCUAGGAAUCUGCCUGGUAGUGGGGGAUAACGUCCGGAAACGGGCGCUAAUACCGCAUACGUCCUGAGGGAGAAAGUGGGGGAUCUUCGGACCUCACGCUAUCAGAUGAGCCUAGGUCGGAUUAGCUAGUAGGUGGGGUAAAGGCCUACCAAGGCGACGAGCCGUAACUGGUCUGAGAGGAUGAUCAGUCACCCGGGAACUGAGACACGGUCCAGACUCCUACGGGAGGCAGCAGUGGGGAAUAUUGGACGAUGGGCGAAAGCCUGAUCCAGCCAUGCCGCGUGUGUGAAGAAGGUCUUCGGAUUGUAAAGCACUUUAAGUUGGGAGGAAGGGCAGUAAGUUAAUACCUUGCUGUUUUGACGUUACCAACAGAAUAAGCACCGGCUAACUUCGUG